UGGGGGAUCGUCUAAUGGUAGGACUACAGACUCUGAAUUCGUCAAUGGUGGUUCGAAUCCACCUCCCCCAGCCA
rnacentral:tRNA from 1 species